rnacentral:misc_RNA from 1 species
GAUAGAAGGAUUUAAAUAAAAUAAUGUAAAAGUUAUUAUUAUUGUAAUUAAUAGUUUAUAAAUAUUUUGAGUAAAGAAUUUAAUUAGUAUAUAUUAGUUUUUAAGUAAGAAGUUUAUUGUGUAGUGGUUUUUUUUCGGAUAUGUUUAGUUGUUUUUCGGAGUGUUGAAAUUAAAUUGGUGUAGUUAAUUAUGAAGAAAUGUUU